CAGACCUCCCGACCCCACUGUGGUGCCUCUCUUAGAAAAUGUUCCCAAGAACCAAAUGCAAGCUCAGGGAUCAAUAUUUAUGAGCAAGGAUGAAGGAAGUAAGGAACUUUCCUUGGACCAAAGAUGUUCAGAGCAACAGAUCAGCCCAAAGCACAUUCAGUUCUGGAGAGGAAGAAGAGGAGGUAGCAGAGAAGCACAAAGAAGCAGAACAAGAGAAAGAAGGAGAGAGGCACGAGAGAAAGGAUGUAAGAGAGAACAGAUUUGGGUUUUAGUUUGCUACUCAAAUUCCUAUUUGGAAGAGAUAUUGAUUUCCCAGGCUCCACAUCAAGCUCUUUCCGGGACCAGCACAAACAAUUUCUCAGUGUCUGUGGAAAGUGAACUCUUUGCUUUGCAAACAUGAGGACCUCCACAUCUCUAGAGUUCCCACAAAAUAAUAAUA